rnacentral:rRNA from 1 species
GAAGAAGGAGGGGGGAGUGAUUAACACAUGCAAGUCGAACGGAAAGGCCCUGCUUUUGUGGGGUGCUCGAGUGGCGAACGGGUGAGUAACACGUGAGUAACCUGCCCUUGACUUUGGGAUAACUUCAGGAAACUGGGGCUAAUACCGGAUAGGAGCUCCUGCUGCAUGGUGGGGGUUGGAAAGUUUCGGCGGUUGGGGAUGGACUCGCGGCUUAUCAGCUUGUUGGUGGGGUAGUGGCUUACCAAGGCUUUGACGGGUAGCCGGCCUGAGAGGGUGACCGGCCACAUUGGGGCUGAGAUACGGCCCAGACUCCUACGGGAGGCAGCAGUGGGGAAUAUUGCACAAUGGGCGGAAGCCUGAUGCAGCAACGCCGCGUGCGGGAUGACGGCCUUCGGGUUGUAAACCGCUUUCGCCUGUGACGAAGCGUGAGUGACGGUAAUGGGUAAAGAAGCACCGGCUAGCUACGUG